CAAGGGGGAGAGUUUUUAUAGCAUUGCUGAGUCCUUGGAGGGCUUGACGACCUGUAGAGCCAUCCAAGAGAAGAAUCUGGGCGUCCCACCAUCGAAUCUUGGGGAUAACGCUCGGCUAUUGAUACCACUUAGAUGUGCCUGUCCAUAUUCAUCAGAAGUCGGCCUAGCAAGAAGAAUUUUGCUCUCAUAUCCAGUAAGUGAAGGCGAUACAAUCUCAAAUCUGGCCAUUAAGUUCAAUACGACUCCAGAAGCUAUUGUAUCUGCAAAUAACAGAUCAGUAGCAAACUUUAAGCCUGAAAGCCUUGUACCUCUUACAUCUCUUUUGAUACCACUCAAAAGUAAGCC
rnacentral:misc_RNA from 1 species